CCGCCCUCCGCUCCUCCUCCCAGGAGCUCUGGCCGCCGGCCAGCUCGCCCUCCUCAGCUCCCCAUUACUAAUUCAAAGACGCAUUCUUUUGGAGGGAUGGAAAAAAGGUAGGAUCUUCUUGGAUAUUUAAAUUUGGGUGGUCCUAGGCUGUUCCUGAAGUCCUCUUCUUCUCCAGUCUUGAAGAGUGUUGGGAUCGAAUGCCAACUCUGCAAGAUGCUGCAUGAAACCCUUCCUUGGUCUUUUCAGCCACCUGGCACUUAAGUUGUCCCCUCUACUCCCUGAAGAUCUCAUCAGCUUACGAAGCUAUCAGCUGAACUCCGAAGAACUGAAGAGCCAAGCCCUGGCUGAGCACACCCUGGGACCUCAUUUUAUCUAGCCACAAAGGAAGCUUGAGGUUGCAGGCACUGGAAGCAGGAGGACAACAUGAAGGCUGCCAGGAAGUCAGCUCCUGGGCCCACUCACAGCCCUCUAGAAUCUGGCUCACACACAUCUGCUUCACCAUCACUAUCCCCUUCCUGAAUGCUCUCAAGACCAUCGAUUGGAACAAGCUUUCUAGGCUUUCUGACAAUUCCUCUUCAUUGUUCUUUGCCUGUCUUUCCUCUUCUACCACCCUGCCCUCACCUUAAAUAUGGGUGCCCCUCAGGGUUCUCUCUAGUCCAUCUCUCAUCUCCUGUCUGUAGAGUCCCCCAGGUCUGCCCUUGAUUGCAGUCAUCACUCUCAUGCCUAAGACUCCCCAAGCUUUUCCUCUCCCAUCUUCUCCACUUGGCUGUCUCCCAGGCCCAGUCAAGCUCAACAUGUCCAAAGUGUGAUUCAUUGUUUCUGACCCAAACCUGCUCCCCCAUCUAGGUCUCUGUUUCAAUAAACGCCAUCCUCCUCCAUUCACUUUUCAAGCCAGAGACCAUCAUAUGUUUUCUCUUCCUUCUCCUUCAGUAUCCAAUUAGCGUAGUAAGUUUUUCAUAAAAGUUUAUGUAUUCAAUCACAAGUACUCCCCUUUAUUUUUAAAUUGUGUCCAUCCAGUGUCUUUGGUAUCAAAUGCUUUUUUCUCUAAAGAAAUGUGGGAGAUGGUAGAUGACAGUUGUUUUUGGCUGUGUGUAUGUUUUUAGUAUCAGUGAAGGGA